UAUGAUUCCACUCUACUCCUCUGUAGUUAUUUGGCUGAAGAUGUGCAUUAGUGGUUGGCUGUGAUAAUACAUAUAGUAAGAUUGCAUGUUAUGCUUAGCAGAGCUUAGCAGAAAUUUGCUAGAGGAGUUGCAACAGCCUUGAUCAAAUAUUAUUUUCAUUAUUCCUUCUUGGUUUUAGACAAUAACAAUAGAUAAUCUUCAUCGAAAUUUGCUAGAGAAGUUGCAACAGCUUUGGUCAAAUAUUAUUUUUAUUAUUCCUUGUUGGGUUUAGACAAUAAAGUAGAGAAUCUAAAUCCUUCUACUAUAUGUGUACCUGUAAUAGAGCAAUGCUUGGUGCAGCUAGCUGCAGGAAGGACCAACUUGACUUGAUGGGGAUACAAUCACCAAGAAAGAUUCAUACCUGAACUUACCUUUAUGCAUUGCACGAACUACCAAGAUAUUGUAUCUCCCUAUAUGAUCCAUAACUCAUACACACAUGAGUAGCGAUGGGAUACUAUUUGGAUUGAGUGAUCUAGAAUGUAAGCUUACCUCGGUGGUUCAGAUUAUCACUAUUAGUCUUCUGGUCGUGGCAAUUUUUUAGACUUCUGGUGUAAAGCUAUGAAGGGAUUUGCUUGGAAACAAUACUGAAAGGAUACCUUAACUUCAUUUUAUCCCCUAGAUUAGUAUAAGUAUAUUAAGUCCCCGUUUAUUUAGAUGUAUAGCUUGCAUGACAGUUUUGUUUAAACCGAUUUUUGGGGCAUUUAGCAAUUCUCACAUAUGUUGUUACUCAUGCACUUGCUUUUGAAGAUAUCAUUUCCAAUGUCAAUGUUUACAAAAUUGUUAAUCUUUU